UACUAGUGGAAUGGAAGGUCAGUGUGUGUGUGUGUGUGUGUGGAUAUAGUACUAGUGGAAUGGAAGGUCAGUGUGUGUGUGUGGAUAUAGUACUAGUGGAAUGCAAGGUCAGUGUGUGUGUGUGGAUAUAGUACUAGUGGAAUGCAAGGUCAGUGUGUGUGUGGAUAUAGUACUAGUGGAAUGGAAGGUCAGUGUGUGUGUGGAUAUAGUACUAGUGGAAUGGAAGGUCAGUGUGUGUGUGGAUAUAGUACUAGUGGAAUGCAAGGUCAGUGUGUGUGUGGAUAUAGUACUAGUGGAAUGCAAGGUCAGUGUGUGUGUGGAUAUAGUACUAGUGGAAUGCAAGGUCAGUGUGUGUGUGGAUAUAGUACUAGUGGAAUGCAAGGUCAGUG